UGGGGUAUCGCCAAGUUGGUAAGGCACCGGUUUUUGGUAUCGGCAUUCCUAGGUUCGAGUCCUAGUACCCCAACCA
rnacentral:tRNA from 1 species